AACGAACGCUGGCGGCAUGCCUAACACAUGCAAGUCGAACGAGACCUUCGGGUCUAGUGGCGCACGGGUGCGUAACGCGUGGGAACCUGCCCUUAGGUUCGGAAUAACUCCCCGAAAGGGGUGCUAAUACCGGAUAAUGUCUUCGGACCAAAGAUUUAUCGCCUUUGGAUGGGCCGGCGUUGGAUUAGCUAGUUGGUAGGGUAAAAGCCUACCAAGGCGACGAUCCCUAGCUGGUCUGAGAGGAUGAUCAGCCACACUGGAACUGAGACACGGCCCAGACUCCUACGGGAGGCAGCAGCGGGGAAUAUUGGACAAUGGGCGAAAGCCUGAUCCAGCAAUGCCGCGUGAGUGAUGAAGGCCUUAGGGUUGUAAAGCUCUUUUACCCGGGAUGAUAAUGACAGUACCGGGAGAAUAAGCUCCGGCUAACUCCGUG
rnacentral:rRNA from 1 species